UACGAAGGGGGCUAGCGUUGCUCGGAAUCACUGGGCGUAAAGCGCACGUAGGCGGAUUGCUAAGUCAGGGGUGAAAUCCUGGAGCUCAACUCCAGAACUGCCUUUGAUACUGGUGACCUUGAGUCCGGGAGAGGUGAGUGGAACUGCGAGUGUAGAGGUGAAAUUCGUAGAUAUUCGCAAGAACACCAGUGGCGAAGGCGGCUCACUGGCCCGUAACUGACGCUGAGGCACGAAAGCGUGGGGAGCAAACAGG
rnacentral:rRNA from 1 species